rnacentral:rRNA from 1 species
AUGAAUUGCUUAGCUUGGAACUGUCGAAGGGGAGGGGAUGACCCAACAGUUCAUGAUUUGGUUAGCUUGGUAGAAUCGGUCAAUGCCAAGUUGGUGUUCUUGUGUGAAACGUGUUAGAAAGCGAAUAAAGUUCAUCGUCUUUGUGGUAUACUAGGUUUAGGAGGUUUUGCUAGUUGUGAUAGUAAUGGUCUUAGUGGUGGUUUGGCACUGUUUUGGUGUGAUCAGACUCAUGUUGAGAUUAAAGAAAUAAAGGAGAGAUAUAUUAAUGCUUAUAUUCGUUUGUCUGAUGAUGCUCCUUUAUGGCAUUUAACUUGUGUUUAUGGAGAACCCCGGAUAGAGAACCGUCAUCCCUUGUGGAUUGCGUUGCAAGAUCUUAAAGCUUAG